rnacentral:rRNA from 1 species
GAUGAACGCUGGCGGCGUGCCUAAUACAUGCAAGUCGAGCGAACAGACGAGGAGCUUGCUCCUCUGAUGUUAGCGGCGGACGGGUGAGUAACACGUGGAUAACCUACCUAUAAGACUGGGAUAAAUUCGGGAAACCGGAGCUAAUACCGGAUAACAUGUUGAACCGCAUGGUUCAACAGUGAAAGACGGUCUUGCUGUCACUUAUAGAUGGAUCCGCGCCGCAUUAGCUAGUUGGUAAGGUAACGGCUUACCAAGGCAACGAUGCGUAGCCGACCUGAGAGGGUGAUCGGCCACACUGGAACUGAGACACGGUCCAGACUCCUACGGGAGGCAGCAGUAGGGAAUCUUCCGCAAUGGGCGAAAGCCUGACGGAGCAACGCCGCGUGAGUGAAGAAGGUCUUCGGAUCGUAAAACUCUGUUAUUAGGGAAGAACAAAUGUGUAAGUAACUAUGCACGUCUUGACGGUACCUAAUCAGAAAGCCACGGCUAACUACGUG